UAGUCAGUAAGGACCUGGUCAGUGAGGCCCU
rnacentral:piRNA from 1 species